GAGCCUGAACUUGGAGGACCAAAUUGAGAGUGGUGAGUCCGAGCUGAAGAAGUUGAAGGCUGAAGAAAAUUCCCUGAAGAGACUGAUGGUCGGGAGGAAGGAGAAGCUGGCCACGGCGCAGUUCCGGAUGAACAAGCAGCAGGAGGACGUCAAGCAGUACAAGCGCGCGGUGAUUGAAGAUUGCAAUAAAGUUCAAGAAAAAAGAGGAGCUGUCUAUGAGCGAGUCA